CCUACGAGCGGCAGCAGUGGGGAAUAUUGCACAAUGGGGGAAACCCUGAUGCAGCGACGCCGCGUGAGUGAAGAAGUAUUUCGGUAUGUAAAGCUCUAUCAGCAGGAACGAGACAAGACGGUACCUGACUACGAAGCCCCGGCUCACUACGUUCCAGCAGCCGCGGUAAUCCGUAGGGGGCAAGCGUUAUCCGGAAUCACUGGGUGUAAAGGGAGCGUAGACGGCUGUGCAAGCCUGAAGUGAAAGGCGGGGGCCCAACCCCUGGACUGCUUUGGGAACUGUACGGCUGGAGUGCAGGAGAGGUAAGUGGAGUUCCUAGUGUAGCGGUGCAAUGCGUAGAUAUUAGGAGGAACACCAGUGGCGAAGGCGGCUUACUGGACUGUAACUGACGUUGAGGCUCGAAAGCGUGGGGAGCAAACAGGAUUAGAUACCCGAGUAGUC
rnacentral:rRNA from 1 species